rnacentral:rRNA from 1 species
GAUGAACGCUGGCGGCGUGCCUAAUACAUGCAAGUAGAACGCUGAAGGAGGAGCUUGCUCUUCUGGAUGAGUUGCGAACGGGUGAGUAACGCGUAGGUAACCUGCCUGGUAGCGGGGGAUAACUAUUGGAAACGAUAGCUAAUACCGCAUGACAACAGUUAUUGCAUGAUAACUGUUUAAAAGGGGCAACUGCUCCACUACCAGAUGGACCUGCGUUGUAUUAGCUAGUUGGUGAGGUAACGGCUCACCAAGGCGACGAUACAUAGCCGACCUGAGAGGGUGAUCGGCCACACUGGGACUGAGACACGGCCCAGACGCCUACGGGAGGCAGCAGUAGGGAAUCUUCGGCAAUGGACGGAAGUCUGACCGAGCAACGCCGCGGGAGUGAAGAAGGUUUUCGGAUCGUAAAGCUCUGUUGUAAGAGAAGAACGAGUGUGAGAGUGGAAAGUUCACACUGUGACGGUAUCUGACCAGAAAGGGACGGCUAACUACGUG